AUGAAGAUUAUGGAUACUAGGACAGAUAAGGAUGUUAUCAUCAAGACUGAAGCUGAGAAUUUAGUUGUUUUUACUAAUGUCUGUGCCCCUAUUUGUGACAAUCCUGAUUUUUUUUUCAUGCCUUUUUUUGCUGACCUGAGUGACAUGGAACAUUCCUCCCUUGUUAUUGCUGGUGACAUUAAUGAUGUAUGUUAUCCUGUUUUGAACAGAAAUGCAUACUGUGAAGAGCAAUGCCUGAACUGAUGCUAUCCCAGACAGAAAAAUAUGACUUCAAACCUAAUGGGAUUCUCCUCAGACCAGUACGUGCUGGGAGCAUGAAGGAGGUAAUGCUUUCCGCAUCAAAGAAAAGAAUGCAUAUAAUCCUCCCUGGAGGUUGU
rnacentral:lncRNA from 1 species